GAUGAACGCUGGCGGCGUGCCUAAUACAUGCAAGUCGAGCGAACAGACGAGGAGCUUGCUCCUCUGACGUUAGCGGCGGACGGGUGAGUAACACGUGGAUAACCUACCUAUAAGACUGGGAUAACUUCGGGAAACCGGAGCUAAUACCGGAUAACAUGUUGAACCGCAGGGUUCAAAAGUGAAAGACGGUCUUGCUGUCGCUUAUAGAUGGAUCCGCGCCGCAUUAGCUAGUUGGUAAGGUAACGGCUUACCAAGGCAACGAUGCGUAGCCGACCUGAGAGGGUGAUCGGCCACACUGGAACUGAGACACGGUCCAGACUCCUACGGGAGGCAGCAGUAGGGAAUCUUCCGCAAUGGGCGAAAGCCUGACGGAGCAACGCCGCGUGAGUGAAGAAGGUCUUCGGAUCGUAAAACUCUGUUAUUAGGGAAGAACAAAUGUGUAAGUAACUAUGCACGUCUUGACGGUACCUAAUCAGAAAGCCACGGCUAACUACGUG
rnacentral:rRNA from 1 species